AUUGAACGCUGGCGGCAGGCCAAACACAUGCAAGUCGAGCGGAUGAAGGGAGCUUGCUCCUGGAUUCAGCGGCGGACGGGUGAGUAAUGCCUAGGAAUCUGCCUGGUAGUGGGGGAUAACGUCCGGAAACGGGCGCUAAUACCGCAUACGUCCUGAGGGAGAAAGUGGGGGAUCUUCGGACCUCACGCUAUCAGAUGUGCCUAGGUCGGAUUAGCUAGUUGGUGGGGUAAAGGCCUACCAAGGCGACGAUCCGUAACUGGUCUGAGAGGAUGAUCAGUCACACUGGAACUGAGACACGGUCCAGACUCCUACGGGAGGCAGCAGUGGGGAAUAUUGGACAAUGGGCGAAAGCCUGAUCCGGCCAUGCCGCGUGUGUGAAGAAGGUCUUCGGAUUGUAAAGCACUUUAAGUUGGGAGGAAGGGCAGUAAGUUAAUACCUUGCUGUUUUGACGUUACCAACAGAAUAAGCACCGGCUAACUUCGUG
rnacentral:rRNA from 1 species